GAAAUGUACACAGGGAGCUCUUUGGAAAAUUCUUACCGUAUCUUCUGCAAGGGAAUCUUCCAUCUGGUUCAUCAAAGCCAAAGCAACCUCACACUUCCCUCACCCUGGCACACGUUUCUCCCUACGGGUGCAAGGAGCAAGAAACAAAAAUAACAAAGAAAAUCUGUGACAGAUGAACUGUUCAUUGCUGGAAUGUUCCAUAGUCCGCUGCUUCGCGGGGGACCUGUGCUGUGCAUGAUGUAGUACCGUCCUCCACCUCAGAAGUUUCCGGGCCGUCUUCUAUGGAUAAUUACUUCUGGGAAGCAGAGUCAGAGAAUCUGAACUUAAUUUUACCCUGUGAGAGAAAUGUAGACUGAACACAAAGUGGCCACAGUUGUGUUAAAAGGAUCAGACUUCAACACCCACUCAGCUUCUGACUGAAUUGCUCUGCUAAAAAAAAAAAAAAAAAA
rnacentral:lncRNA from 1 species